rnacentral:rRNA from 1 species
UCCGCACGAGCGCACCCUUGUCCUUAGUUACCAGCACGUUUAUGGUGGGCACUCUAGGGAGACUGCCGGUGACAAACCGGAGGAAGGUGGGGACGACGUCAAGUCAUCAUGGCCCUUACGNCCAGGGCUACACACGUGCUACAAUGGUGCAUACAGACGGUUGCCAAGCCGCAAGGUGGAGCUAAUCUGAGAAAGUGCAUCGUAGUCCGGAUUGGGGUCUGCAACUCGACCCCAUGAAGUCGGAAUCGCUAGUAAUCGUGAAUCAGAAUGUCACGGUGAAUACGUUCCCGGGCCUU